rnacentral:rRNA from 1 species
AUACGUAGGUGACAAGCGUUAUCCGGAUUUACUGGGCGUAAAGGGCGUGUAGGCGGUCUUGCAAGUCAGAAGUGAAAUUCCUGAGCUCAACUCGGGCGCUGCUUCUGAAACUGCAGGACUUGAGUGCUGGAGGGGAUAGCGGAAUUCCUAGUGGAGCGGUAAAAUGCGCAGAUAUUAGGAAGAACACCGGUGGCGAAGGCGACUACCUGGCCAGAAACUGAAGCUGAGGCGCGAAAGCGUGAGUAGAAAACAGCAUUAGGUACCCUGGUAUUCCACGCCGUAAACGAUGAAUACUAGGUGUAGGGGGCAUCGACUCCCGCUGUGCCUCAGUUAACACAAUAAGUAUUCCGCCUGGGGAGUACGGCCGCAAGGUUGAAACUCAAAUGAAUUGGCGGG